GACGAACGCUGGCGGCGUGCCUAAUACAUGCAAGUCGAACGCAGUGGGGACGGGUGAGUAACAAGUGGGUAACCUCCCAUCAGAGGGGAGAACACUUGGCAACAGGUGCUAAACCGCCAUUGAAUGAGCGAGCCUCGGUGCAUUAGCUAGUUGGUGGGGUAACGGCUAACCAGGGCCACGAUGCAUAGCGGGUCUGAGAGGGUGAGCGGCCACACUGGGACUGAGACACGGCCCAGACUCCUACGGGAGGCAGCAGUAGGGAAUCUUACGCAAUGGACGAAAGUCUGACCGAGCAACGCCGCGUGAGUGAAGAAGGUUUUCGGCUCGUAAAACUCUGUUGUUAGAGAAGCGGUAUCUAACCAAAAAGCCCCGGCUAACUACGUGCCAGCAGCCGCGGUAAUUC
rnacentral:rRNA from 1 species